GGGGCCGUAGCUCAGCUGGGAGAGCGCCGCCUUUGCAAGGCGGAGGUCGGGGGUUCGAGCCCCCCCGGCUCCACCA
rnacentral:tRNA from 1 species